AUUCUCUCCUCUCAGCAUCAUCUACGUUACUUACUACUCACUGAACCGGCCACUCUUCUGCCACUUCCCAAGGGGGGAAUGGCACAGUACUGGUACAGCCUGGAUAUCAAACCAGAUGCCUGGAUGGAAUUUCAACUACCUACUAUUACACCUCCACAUGAUGUGCAACCAGAGAACUUGUUACACUGUACCCUGUGGUUCAAAGACAACCCAGGCCCUGAUGUGGACUAUGAAG